rnacentral:rRNA from 1 species
CAAGUCGCACGAGAAAGUGGAGCAAUCCAUGAGUAAAGUGGCGCACGGGUGAGUAACACGUGAAUCAUCUACCUCCGAGUGGGGAAUAACCUAGAGAAAUCUGGGCUAAUACCGCAUAACACUUACGAGUCAAAGCAGCAAUGCGCUUGGAGAGGAGUUCGCGGCCGAUUAGCUAGUUGGCGGGGUAAUGGCCCACCAAGGCGAUGAUCGGUAUCCGGCCUGAGAGGGCGCACGGACACACUGGAACUGAAACACGGUCCAGACUCCUACGGGAGGCAGCAGUGGGGAAUUUUGCGCAAUGGGGGAAACCCUGACGCAGCAACGCCGCGUGGAGGAUGAAAUCCCUUGGGAUGUAAACUCCUUUCGAUGGGGAAGAUUAUGGCGGUACCCAUAGAAGAAGCCCCGGCUAACUUCGUGCCAGCAGCCGCGGUAAUACGAGGGGGGCAAGCGUUGUUCGGAAUUAUUGGGCGUAAAGGGUGCGUAGGCGGUUUGACAAGUCUGAUGUGAAAUCUAUGGGCUCAACCCAUAGUCUGCAUCGGAAACUGUCGGGCUUGAGUAUGGGAGAGGUGAGUGGAAUUUCCGGUGUAGCGGUGAAAUGCGUAGAUAUCGGAAGGAACACCUGUGGCGAAAGCGGCUCACUGGACCAUUACUGACGCUGAGGC